AGCGAACGCUGGCGGCAGGCCUAACACAUGCAAGUCGAACGAUCCUUCGGGAUAGUGGCGGACGGGUGAGUAACACGUGGGAACGUACCUUUAGGUUCGGGAUAACUCAGGGAAACUUGAGCUAAUACCGGAUGUGCCCUUCGGGGGAAAGAUUUAUCGCCUUUAGAGCGGCCCGCGUUAGAUUAGCUAGUUGGUGAGGUAAAGGCUCACCAAGGCUCCGAUCUAUAGCUGGUCUGAGAGGAUGAUCAGUCACACUGGGACUGAGACACGGCCCAGACUCCUACGGGAGGCAGCAGUGGGGAAUCUUGCGCAAUGGGCGAAAGCCUGACGCAGCCAUGCCGCGUGAAUGAUGGAGGUCUUAGGAUUGUAAAAUUCUUUUAGCAGGGACGAUAAUGACGGUACCUGCAGAAAAAGCCCCGGCUAACUUCGUGCCAGCAGCCGCCGUAA
rnacentral:rRNA from 1 species